rnacentral:tRNA from 1 species
GACGACAUAGCAGAGUAGUAAGGCGUGGGACUGCAAAUCCCCUUUUCCAGGUUCAAAUUCGGGUGUCAUUU